AGUUAAAUCAUCCUCAGAAGUCCGGAUAGGGUUUCUACGCGUUUGGAGAAGCCAAAUUCUGAAAUGGGCCAAACCAAUAUAUUUAUAGUCCAAUCGACGGCUCAAACUUGUUCCCCAGCAACCCACAUUAACCGUGGAUGAGAAGCAGAGGUUAGAUAUCCAUCGUCCGCAUCACCCAGGGUUUUUAUUUUACACAGGGGACUUUGCAGAUUUCCUGAAGAUUAGAAAUGGAUUCCGAUCAGGGCAAGCUCUUCAUUGGGGGGAUCUCAUGGGAGACGAGCGAAGAGAGGCUGGCAGAGUAUUUUUCCAACUAUGGCGAGGUUGUGCAGACUGUGAUAAUGAAGGAUCGCAUGACUGGACGCGCCAGAGGCUUCGGCUUUGUUGUUUUCGCCGACCCCUCCAUUCUUGAUAGGGUUCUCCAGGACAAGCACACCAUCGAUGGAAGAACUGUGGAAGCAAAGAAAGCAGUUCCCAGGGAAGAGCAACAGAAUGCCAGGGCUAACAGCUACAACAACAAUGGCGGCCAAGCCUUUGUAGGAGGUGUUGUUAGAACAAAGAAGAUUUUUGUAGGAGGUUUGCCUGCAAAUUUAACUGAAGAAGAGUUCAAGAUUUAUUUCCAGCAGUUUGGCACUAUUAACGAUGUUGUUGUAAUGUAUGAUCAUAGCACUCAGAGGCCAAGAGGUUUUGGAUUUAUUACUUUUGAUUUAGAAGAUUCAGUGGAAAAUGUUUUGCUGAAAAAUUUCCAUGAAUUGAACGGCAAACUUGUAGAAGUUAAGCGAGCAUUGCCGAAAGAUGCUUCUUCUGGAGGUGGAGGCAGAGGUGGAGGAGGUUAUCAAGGGUAUAAUAAUUCUAACUCAAAUGUUGGUGGUUAUGAAGGUAGGAUGGAUAAUAACAGAUACGGGCAACCUCCUGCAGGAAGAGGGGGCUUUCCUUCUUUUCCACCCGCUGGUUAUGGUGCCCCAAACUAUGGAAGUGGUGGCUACGGUGCAGUUAAUACUGGUGGGUAUGGCUAUGGAAAUUAUGGAAUGAACAGUUAUGGAGGUGCACCUCCUGGAGCUCCUGCAUAUGGUGGAGCUGGUGGUGGCUAUGGAAGUACUCCCGUACCAAACUCUGGUUUUGGAAAUGGCCCUGUCGGAGCUCCUAGAAGCCCAUGGGGUAAUGCAGCAUCUGCUGGUUAUGGAUCACAGGCUAACUCUGCAAGCUAUGGAACAAAUACAGGCUAUGGAGCUGCAAACUCGUGGCCUUCUUCUGGUGCUGCUUCUGGGACAGCUGGACAGUCUCCCAGUGGUGGCAAUGGUUAUACAAAUCCAAAUUAUGGAUAUGGAUAUGCCAACAACGAGGGUUCAUACAAUGCCAAUGCAGCUGGGGGCUAUGGUGGUCCUGGCCGUGGAGGUGCAACUCCAAACUAUAAUGCGGGCAAUAAUGGCGAACAGACAGGAACAGGUGUUGCUUAUGCAGGUGGCUAUGGAGAUCCUCAUGGAAACUCUGGAUAUUCAGACACAGUCUGGAAAUCCGGUGUUUCUGAUCCUUCUGCAGCUGGCUUCAAUGCAGCACCAACUGGUGGUUAUGGUGUUCCUCAUGCUGAUGGGACCGCUAAUGGGCAAGCAGCUUAUGGAGGAUAUGGUGCAGCUGGGCGGCAGAGCCAGAGGCAGUGAUGCAUUGUCCAAGGAUUGGAUAUGUUCUUUUGCCAUUUCAGAACUUUCCAGACCCUGGAUUCUUAAGUCCUAAAAGCGGCUCGUUACUCUGGCAUUUGUCUGUGCAGAGUGGACAGCAAAUUUUGGGACUGGGGAUGCUGCUUAAACAGGGACAAUUGCCUUUUGUGGUGGUUAUGGGAUUAUGGAGCGCAGAAGGUGGGAACUCUUUUCUCAAUGGAUUGUUUGGGUAAAAUGGAUAAACCACAAAAAAUCAUGCAUAACUUCAAGGUGCCAAAGCAAUUUUACACCAGAGAACUGCUGCAAUUUGUGAAUGGAUCAUUCUUUGAUAUUAUCAAGAAAUUCUUCAUAUGAAGGUCCCUGUUUGGCUGAGAUUGUUGCCUGCCCUACAGCAGUGGGCAAGCACUUCACUCUUGUUGUCUGUACUAUUGUCCAUCAUUGGGAUAUAAUCUAUCCAACUAGUUCGAAUCUAUUUUUGAUUUCAAAGCAAUAAUAUAACCUUGUGCAUAGUUCUUAGGUCUAA